rnacentral:rRNA from 1 species
ACUCUUACGGGAGGCAGCAGUGGGUAAUUUUGGACAAUGGGGGCAACCCUAAUCCAGCACAGCCGCGAAAGGAAGAAGGCGCAACGGUUGUAAAGCGCUUUAUCCGGGAAGA